AGGGAAGUUGGCAUCAACAAAUUAACGUUAAAAAUCAAAAUUAUCAAUACCAUUUACCAAUAAAACAUAACAACAGUAUGUCAAAAUGAUAAGAUGCUAGACUCCCAAAUCUGUACAAACUACUAAAAGCACAAAUCUGUCCAAUUUCUCAUUCUUUAGUUCAACUAUCUCCACCGUUUUUGCUGCCUUACAGUUCAGUUAGUUCUUGGAUGAACUCUUUUCAAGAAGAAGAUUGGGGAUUCCAUAUUAGUGUCUUUAGCGCUCCGUCUAAUCGAGUAAACCUUUAAAAAGUCAAUAUCAAACAAGUUCACAUACAUCAAUUGUCGAGGCCUUUAGAUACAAACAGAAAAGCAGAAAAAAACAUUAGAUAUACUCGUCAUGCAAUAAAUCAUAUCUCC
rnacentral:lncRNA from 1 species